ACAAGAUACAAUUGAAUUGAAAUUGAAAGAAAUAGAUUUGAAAGAAUUUUGAAUAUAGAAAAUAAUUUUCUUGUAAUGAAAGGAAGAUGAAUCAAGAAUGAAAAAUUGUAAAAUUUUCUAUCCACAGGGUAUAUAUUCUCGGGUUUCCGACCGGUGUUGAGCGCAUGUGCAUUACCAUAGAUUAUAAAGUAUAUAUAACCGAAACACAAUCAUAUGCGCAAAAACGAGCGAAAACUCGUCAUCUAGUAAGUAUGGUUUCUCGUGAACUGCAGUCUAAUUAUAAAAUGCAUAUUUUAAUGAUACAUAAUCAAAUUUUUGUCAGCGCUAUAACAAUUUAGAAGUAUAAUUCAUUAGUUAUAAUUACCUGGAACACAUUUUCAUGGCGACAAUGACACGUGAAUCGGCUACAGCAUGUUUGCGUUCCGUUAUCGAUGUCCACAAAUUAGGAGGCAAAUACCUACAAUUGAGGGAGCGAUAGACGGAGGUAACUCUGAUAGACAGGUGACCUACAUGAAG